rnacentral:tRNA from 1 species
UGUUAAAGUGGCAGAAAGAUGUGUUAAAUUUAGGAUUUAAAGAUGGAUUAAUCCCUUUAGCAG